AUUCCAGUUCAGGUGACAUGAUCACAUGUCACUGUAAGACUUCAUUACCCGCUUGCCAGCACAUAGGUAUACAGGAAGACUUACAAGUAAACAGAGUCAUUACAACUGUGACAGAUUCAGACCGGAGGAAUAUAAGAGAGUGAUGGAAGGUAGGUAUAUCAGCCUUCAAAAUGAGCAGGUCCCUGUUCCUUGGAUAGCCAAACAAAGGCUACUCCUGGCCAAUUAAGACACCUGAUACCAAUUAACCAAUUAAGGCCGUUAGGCUAAUGGAGACAGCUGGAACCAAUCAAGGUCCCACUUAUACUGUUUAAAAGCUCUCCUUCCAGUGCCCUCUAGGGAGCUGAGUUGAAAGGAGCUGGAGGAGAGGAAGCAUUGCUGAAUCCUGAGCACUAAAUACACAUGUAAGGGGUUAUGAGCAACUCUGUCUCUGAACUUUCCUGUUAAGGCCUUUAAAGUCAAUGGAAAUAUUCCCACUGAAGAAAAAUGGGAGUUGGAUUCACCCAAAAGCUCACCUGAGAAACUGGUUUUGCAAAACUACUUUCCUGAGGCUGGAUGCUCCUAUGUAAAGAAGAUUCAGAAACUGAGAUUGCUCAUGUUAAUAGAAUUUACAAAGGACUGAGAGUAAUCACACUUGCUUUGUGACUUUGGGCAUUCAACCUGUCUGUGCCUUCAAAAUCCCAUCUGUAAAAUGGGGACAAUGAUUAAACUUCAGAGCUACAAAAGAAAAGGAUGACCCCUCUGUGCCUCACUGAUUUCACUGGAUGGGGAUGGAUCCGGGUUGUGUAGUGAAGGAGGCUAUUAUCUGAAGUACACCUGCUUCAUUUAUUAUAGAAGGUGAAAGAUGUAUAUUGAAUGAGGAAUGGGAUUCCACUAUGAGGAAGUAUGGUCACAUGUUUAAGGCAGUUGAAUGCUGACCUGGAGAACUGGACUCUAUCCCUGCCUCUGUUACAGAGUUCAUAUGUGAUGCUAGGCAAGUCACUUAAAUCAGAUCUUUCACAGGUGGUUACUAAGGCUGUGUUCCUCAUUUUGUAAGUGCCUGACUUGAGACCCCGGAGUCUGGUUUGCAAUGCUAAGCACUCACAGAUGCAACUGAAGUCAUUUGGAACUGUGUUUUGAACACAUAAAUUUCUAUAUAAUAAGCACUGGUGAGACCCCCAAACACAUAUCCUGGCCUCUCUCAUUCACAUCCCACUGCAUGCAAUUAGUAAGGAUUCAGGCAGGAUAACAGCUGGCUGAUCUACCUGGACUUGGUUGGUGUCCGUCUGCGUGCCCAGAGUGAAGACUGCGUGCAGGGUGGCUUGGAGGAGGUGGGUCUCCAGCUC